UGACGAGUGGCGGACGGGUGAGUAAUGUCUGGGAAACUGCCUGAUGGAGGGGGAGUAACUACUGGAAACGGUAGCUAAUACCGCAUAACGUCGCAAGACCAAAGAGGGGGACCUUCGGGCCUCUUGCCAUCGGAUGUGCCCAGAUGGGAUUAGCUAGUUGGUGGGGUAACGGCCCACCAAGGCGACGAUCCAUAGCCGGCCUGAGAGGGUGAACGGCCACAUUGGGACUGAGACACGGCCCAGACUCCUACGGGAGGCAGCAUG
rnacentral:rRNA from 1 species